GUUGUAUGGUCAAGCAAACAAGCGCACAUGGUGGAUGCCUUGGCGAUAAGAGGCGAUGAAGGACGUGGUAGUCUGCGAUAAGCCCCGGUAAGUUGACAAACUAACUCUGACCCGGGGAUUUCCGAAUGGGGAAACCCACCCGCUUUGCGCGGGUAUCGCGCGCUGAAUACAUAGGCGCGCGAGGCGAACCCGGGGAACUGAAACAUCUAAGUACCCGGAGGAACAGAAAUCAACCGAGAUUCCCCAAGUAGCGGCGAGCGAACGGGGACCAGCCUGCAUGCGAUAGCGGGAAAGUUAGUGGAACGGUCUGGAAAGUCCGGCCACAGCGGGUGACAGCCCCGUACACGAAAACUUUUCCGUGAUACUGAGCAUGCGACAAGUAGGGCGGAGCACGUGAAACUCUGUCUGAACAUGGGGGGACCAUCCUCCAAGGCUAAAUACUACUUAUCGACCGAUAGUGAACCAGUACCGUGAGGGAAAGGCGAAAAGAACCCCUGUUAGGGGAGUGAAACAGAACCUGAAACCGUGUGUGUACAAGCAGUGGGAGCCUGAUUCCCGGAUUCGUCCGGGGAACGGGCGACUGCGUACCUUUUGUAUAAUGGGUCAGCGACUUAAUUUCAGUAGCAAGGUUAACCUGUCAUGGGGGAGCCGCAGCGAAAGCGAGUCUUAACAGGGCGAUUAGUCUUCGGACGCGAGUUGCUGGGAUUAGACCCGAAACCGGGCGAUCUAGCCAUGGCCAGGUUGAAGGUCGGGUAAUACCGACUGGAGGACCGAACCAACCUAUGUUGAAAAAUGGGUGGAUGAGCUGUGGCUCGGAGUGAAAGGCUAAACAAGCCCGGAGAUAGCUGGUUCUCCUCGAAAACUAUUUAGGUAGUGCCUCGUGUCUCACCGUCGGGGGUAGAGCACUGUCAUGGCUAGGGCUGCAUCUCGCGGUACCAACCCAUAGCAAACUCCGAAUACCGACGAGUGCAAUCACGGGAGACAGACGGCGGGAGAUAAGUUUCGUCGUCGAAAGGGAAACAGCCCAGACCGCCGAUUAAGGUCCCCAAACACAUCUCAGUGGGAAACGAUGUGGGAAGGCUCAGACAGCCAGGAGGUUGGCUUAGAAGCAGCCAUCCUUUAAAGAAAGCGUAAUAGCUCACUGGUCGAGUCGGCCUGCGCGGAAGAUAUACCGGGGCUCAAGAUGUGUACCGAAAUCGCGGGCGCGCGCAUUCUUCGGAAUGCGCGCGCGGUAGAGGAGCGUUCCGUACGUCGUUGAAGGUGUGCCGUGAGGCAUGCUGGAGGCAUCGGAAGUGAGAAUGCUGACAUGAGUAGCGAUAAUGCGGGUGAGAGGCCCGCACGCCGAAAGCCCAAGGUUUCCUGCGCAACGCUAAUCGGCGCAGGGUGAGUCGACCCCUAAGGCGAGGCCGAAAGGCGUAGUCGAUGGGAAUCAGGUUAAUAUUCCUGAACCGGCCAUAACUGCGACGGGGUGACGGAGAAGGCUAGGUCGGCCGGGUGUUGGAUGUCCCGGUUUAAGCGCGUAGGUUGGAUGCCCAGGCAAAUCCGGGCGUCCGUUAAGACUGAGGCGUGAUGACGAGCGCUUUAAUUAGCGCGAAGCGAUUGAUGCCAUGCUUCCAGGAAAAACCCCUAAGCUUCAGGUUAUGUUCGAUCGUACCCCAAACCGACACAGGUGGGCGGGGAGAGAAUCCCAAGGCGCUUGAGAGAACUCUGGUGAAGGAACUCGGCAAAAUGACACCGUAACUUCGGGAGAAGGUGUGCCUCCGUCAGGUGACGGGCUUCGCGCCCCGAGCCGAGGGGGGUUGCAACAAAGAGGUGGCUGCGACUGUUUACUAAAAACACAGCACUCUGCAAACUCGCAAGAGGAAGUAUAGGGUGUGACGCCUGCCCGGUGCCGGAAGGUUAAGUGACGGGGUUAGCCGUUUUCGAACGGCGACGCUCCCGACCGAAGCCCCGGUGAACGGCGGCCGUAACUAUAACGGUCCUAAGGUAGCGAAAUUCCUUGUCGGGUAAGUUCCGACCUGCACGAAUGGCGUAACGAUGGCCUGGCCACACUGUCUCCACCAGAGACUCAGCGAAAUUGAACUCGCUGUGAAGAUGCAGCGUACCCGCGGUUAGACGGAGAGACCCCGUGAACCUUUACUACAACUUCACACUGGACUUUGAACAGGCAUGUGCAGGAUAGGUGGCAGGCUUUGAAGUGGAGACGCCAGUCUCCGCGGAGCCGUCCUUGAGAUACCACCCUUGUUUGUUUGGGGCCCUAACCGAGGCCCGUUAUCCGGGUCCGGGACCAUGUGUGGCGGGUAGUUUGACUGGGGCGGUCUCCUCCCAAAGCGUAACGGAGGAGCGCGAAGGUACUCUAAGCACGGUCGGAAAUCGUGCGGUUAGUGCAAAGGCACAAGAGUGCUUGACUGCGAGACAGACACGUCGAGCAGGAACGAAAGUUGGUCUUAGUGAUCCGGUGGUUCUGUAUGGAAGGGCCAUCGCUCAACGGAUAAAAGGUACUCCGGGGAUAACAGGCUGAUACCGCCCAAGAGUUCACAUCGACGGCGGUGUUUGGCACCUCGAUGUCGGCUCAUCACAUCCUGGGGCUGUAGCCGGUCCCAAGGGUAUGGCUGUUCGCCAUUUAAAGUGGUACGCGAGCUGGGUUUAGAACGUCGUGAGACAGUUUGGUCCCUAUCUGCCGUGGGCGCCGGAGACUUGAGAGGAGCUGCUCCUAGUACGAGAGGACCGGAGUGGACGUACCUCUGGUGUUCCGGUUGUCACGCCAGUGGCACCGCCGGGUAGCUAUGUACGGACGGGAUAACCGCUGAAAGCAUCUAAGCGGGAAGCCCCCCUCAAGAUGAGGUCUCCCGGGGCGUUAAGCCCCCUGAAGGGCCGUUGAAGACGACAACGUGGAUAGGCCGGGUGUGGAAGCGCAGCAAUGCGUGAAGCUAACCGGUACUAAUUGCCCGUGCGGCUUGACCAUACAACCCCAAG
rnacentral:rRNA from 1 species